rnacentral:rRNA from 1 species
UACGGAGGGUGCAAGCGUUAUCCGGAUUUACUGGGUCUAAAGGGUGCGUAGGCGGAUUUGUAAGUCAGUGGUGAAAGCCUGGAGCUUAACUCCGGAAUUGCCAUUGAUACUGCUUUUCUUGAGUACAGUUGAGGUGGGCGGAAUACAUCAUGUAGUAGUGAAAUACUUAGAUAUGAUGUAGAACACCGAUUGCGAAGGCAGCUCACUAAACUGUAACUGACGCUGAGGCACGAAAGCGUGGGGAUCGAACAGG